CACUGUUGGGUAUUUAACAUUUGUGUUUAUUAGUUUGAUCGCAACCUCGCUUUGGUCUUUUCGAAAUACGUCGGCAAGAUUGCAGCAGACGAAAAUUGGACGAGAAAAUAAUCUUCUUAAAAAACCCACCACCCUCCCAAUGUAAAUUAAUUUUGUGUUACAUGUGUAUUUGUUCUGAAUGGAAGUAAGAAACCAGAUACUGCUUUUAAGUUUAUAUUUCAGCUUAUUUCUGCUAAUGGUACUGAGAUGGGAGAGUAGGAGACAACUAGUGAACAUAAUGUAGAUGUAAAAGUGGACAUUGGCAGAGCACAUUUGGCACAUUUCGCUGCGCUGGAUUUAACAUUCAUAUAUUCAGUGAACAGUAAUGAUAGCCUCUGAUUACCAGGGCUCAUCAGUCAACUUCUCGUACCAGACAUAUUACUUAAAUAUAUUUAUAUUAGUGGUCUGCCAUAAUUUGCGGUAGCCACAUUAUAAUUUACAUAUAUAUUAAAUACAGACAUUGAUAAAUAUAUUUCAGAGCAAGAUUGCCAAUUUAAAUACAUAUUAUAUAUCAUAUAUGUUAUAUUUUAUUCAAGAUAAAGCUGUGGCCAAAUACUGCCAAAACCUUAUUAUCUAUUUGUUAUGUUUUGGGCCUCGAGGAUAAUGACGUUAC
rnacentral:lncRNA from 1 species